rnacentral:misc_RNA from 1 species
GAUGAAGAACGCAGCGAAAUGCGAUAAGUAAUGUGAAUUGCAGAAUUCAGUGAAUCAUCGAAUCUUUGAACGCACAUUGCGCCCGCCAGCAUUCUGGCGGGCAUGCCUGUUCGAGCGUCAUUUCAACCCUCGAGCCCCCCCGGGGGCCUCGGUGUUGGGGGACGGCACACCAGCCGCCCCCGAAAUGCAGUGGCGACCCCGCCGCAGCCUCCCCUGCGUAGUAGCACACACCUCGCACCGGAGCGCGGAGGCGGUCACGCCGUAAAACGCCCAACUUUCUUAGAGUUGACCUCGGAUCAGGUAGGAAUACCCGCUGAACUUAAGCAUAUCAAUAAGCGGAGG